rnacentral:rRNA from 1 species
UAAUACGUAGGCAGCAAGCGUUGUUCGGAAUUACUGGGCGUAAAGAGUGUGUAGGCGGUUCUCUAUGUUCGGUGUGAAAUCUCCCGGCUUAACUGGGAGGGUGCGCCGAAAACUGGAGGGCUUGAGUAUGGGAGAGGAAAGCGGAAUUCCUGGUGUAGCGGUGAAAUGCGUAGAUAUCAGGAGGAACACCUGCGGUGUAGACGGCUUUCUGGACCAUCACUGACGCUGAGACACGAAAGCGUGGGUAGCAAACAGGAUUAGAUACCCUGGUAGUCCACGCCCUAAACGAUGCAUACUUGGUGUGAGCCGUUCAUUCGGUUCGUGCCGGAGCUAACGCGUUAAGUAUGCCGCCUGGGGAGUACGGUCGCAAGGCUG